UCCGGGCGCGGCCCCGGGACGCGGCCGCCUGCGGCCCCCAGGCCCAGCACUUCCUCAGCUGCGCCCACAGCGUCACCCGCCAGCAUUCCCGGGAUUCCAGCCCCGAUCCCGGCCGGAAUUCCACACCCGGAGAGAAUCCCUGCAAUUAAAACUCCUCCGGAAAAGCCUCGGAACCUCCCGGAACCUUCUGGAAUUUCCCCUCUGGAAAAGGGAAUCCGGGAUCCCGAAUUUCCGGAACAUUCCCGGAAUUUGGAUCCCAAAAAUUGGAAAAAAAAAAAAAAGAAAAAUAAAAAAAUUCCAGCGGGAAUUUCCCCGGGAAGGGGCCAAAAAUUGGGAUUUUCCUUCUUUGUAUUCCCAAAUUUUCUUUCUUUUUAUUCCAAAUUUUCCCUCCUUUUUUCCCAAAUUUUUCUCUUUUUUAUUCCAAAUUUUUCCCUCCUUUUUUCCCAAAUUUAUUCCAAAUUUUUUCCUCUUUUUUUUCCCAAUUUUUUCUCCUUUUUUCCCAAAUUUUUCUUUUUUAUUCCCAAAUUUUCCUCCUUUUUUCCCAAAUUUUUCUCUUUUUAUUCCCAAUUUUUCCCUCCUUUUUUCCCAAAUUUAUUCCCAAUUUUUUUCUCCUUUUUUCCCAAAUUUUCCUCAUUUUUCCCCCCAUUUUCCCUCUUUUUAUUCCCAAAUUUUCCCUCCUUUUUUCCCCAAUUUUUCUCUUUUUAUUCCCAAAUUUCCCCUCCUUUUUCCCCAAAUUUUUCCCCCUUUUUAUUCCCAAUUUUCCCUCCAAAAUGCCCCCAAAAUUCCCGGGAAUUCCAACCCCACCCCCCCAAAAAAAUUCCCAAAACUUUCCCCAUUUAUUUUAUUUUAUUUUUAUUUUAUUUUAAUUUUUAUUUUUUCCUGGGAUUUUAUUUCAAAUCCUCCAGAAAAUUCCCAAAAAAAAUCGGGAGAAGGGGGAAAAUCCCAAAUUCCGGCCGAUCCCGGUUUUUGGGAAUUCUGGGAUUGGGAAUUUUUGGGAUUUCUGGGAAUUCUGGGACUGGAAUUUCAGGGAAUUCCCUGGAUUGGGAUUCCCAGAAUUUCCCAGGAUUGGGAAUUUUGGGAUUUCUGGGAAUUCCAGGAUUGGGAUUUUUGGGAUUUUUGGGAUUUCUGGGAUUGGGAAUUUUUGGGAUUCCCUGAAUUCCCAGGAUUGGGAAUUUUGGGAUUUCUGGGAAUUCCAGGAUUGGAAUUUUUGGGAUUCCUGGGAUUGGGAAUUUUGGGAUUUCUGAGAAUUCUGGGGUUGGGAUUUCAGGGAAUUCCCUGGAUUGGGAAUUUUGGGAUUUCUGGGAUUGGGAAUUUUGGGAUUCCUGGGAUUUUUGGGAUUGGGAUUUUUUGGGAUUCCCAGAAUUUCCCAGGAUUGGGAUUUUUGGGAUUCCUGGGAUUGGGAAUUUGGGGAUUUCUGGGAUUUUUUGGGAUUCCUGGGACUGGAAUUCCCAGGAUUCCGGGGAUUUCUGGGAAUUCCGGCGUUCCCGGGCUGUCAGGAGGUGAAGUAGGAGCUGUGCAUGGAGCAAAGGCGCUCCAGGGCAUUCCCGGGCUCCGGAAUUCCCGGAAUUCUGGGAUGGAGCUGCUCCAGGGGAUUCCCAAACUCUGGAAUUCCAGGAAUUCCAGGAUUGAGCCGCUCUAGGGCAUUCCCGGGCUCCGGAAUUCCGGGCUGGAGCUGCUCCCAGCCAUUCCCAGGCUCCAGAAUUCCGGGAAUUCCAGGAUAGGGGCGCUCCAGGGCAUUCCCAAACUCCGGAAUUCCGGGAUGGAGCUGCUCCAGGGGAUUCCCGGGCUCCGGAAUUCCAGGAUGGAGCCACUCCCAGCCAUUCCCAGACUCCAGAAUUCCGGGAAUUCCAGGAUUGAGCCGCUCCAGGGCAUUCCCGGGCUCCGGAAUUCCCGGAAUUCUGGGAUGGAGCUGCUCCAGGGGAUUCCCAAACUCUGGAAU
rnacentral:lncRNA from 1 species